AUGAAUGAUUUGGGGCCCUUUCAGCUCCAGUGUCUGAAUCCACAUCUCUCCCUUGAAGGGCUUUGGGUCAGGUGUGUUUGGCAGCACAAUAUCAAUAAACACCGACAGGAAUGCCAGUGUUUCCUUCAGGUCCCCAAGUGUCUUGGAGGUGAGGAGCCAUGCUGUGCCCCUUCUCCACAAGCCUGUUGCCAGGCUCCUGUCCGACCUCAAGUGACACAUGUGGGGAAGCUGACUUUAUUUGGAAGCUCUGUGGAGUUGUCUAAAUCAACGCUGGGAGGAAUUGAACACAGUUACUCUGUGCUCACAGACUGUGUCUUUAACAAUAUCUACAGGAUGCUUUUGAGGUAUGGUACUUGUUACGAUAAAUCUUUCUGCCAAAAGAUGCCUGAGCCCACUGCCAUGUGUGAGCUUUACGCCAGCCACCCACCCGAGUUAGGCCCAAAUGAAUACACAGAAACUUGUAUUUGGUACAGUGCUGCUUGGCCAAUGACUAGGAUUCUCAUCUGCUAGCUCAGUCUUAAUUAUCAUAAAUCUAUAUAUUUUAUAAGACUUAUCUUUUUUUUAAAUAAAAUACAUCAGAAUUUUAUUGCUUGGAGAAUA
rnacentral:lncRNA from 1 species